rnacentral:rRNA from 1 species
ACUACAUGAAGCUGGAAUCGCUAGUAAUCGUAGAUCAGCAUGCUACGGUGAAUACGUUCCCGGGUCUUGUACACACCGCCCGUCACACCACGAGAGUUUGUAACACCCGAAGCCGGUGGAGUAACCUUUUAGGAGCUAGCCGUCGAAGGUGGGACAAAUGAUUGGGGUGAAGUCGUAACAAGGUAGCCGUAUCGGAAGGUGCGGCUGGAUCACCUCCUUUCUAAGGA